AGCAGUCGCCGCGGGAAUACAAAGGGUGCAAGCGUUACUCGGAAUUACUGGGCGUAAAGCGUGCGUAGGUGGUGGUUUAAGUCCGUUGUGAAAGCCCUGGGCUCAACCUGGGAAUUGCAGUGGAUACUGGGUCACUAGAGUGUGGUAGAGGAUAGUGGAAUUUCCGGUGUAGCAGUGAAAUGCGUAGAGAUCGGAAGGAACAUCUGUGGCGAAGGCGACUAUCUGGGCCAACACUGACACUGAGGCACGAAAGCGUGGGGAGCAAACAGGAUUAGAUACCCGUGUAGUCCCUGUCUCUUAUAC
rnacentral:rRNA from 1 species